CCUACGGGUGGCAGCAGUAGGGAAUCUUCCACAAUGGGCGAAAGCCUGAUGGAGCAACGCCGCGUGGGUGAAGAAGGUCUUCGGAUCGUAAAACCCUGUUGUUAGAGAAGAAAGUGCGUGAGAGUAACUGUUCACGUUUCGACGGUAUCUAACCAGAAAGCCACGGCUAACUACGUGCCAGCAGCCGCGAUAAUACGUAGGUGGCAAGCGUUAUCCGGAGUUAUUGGGCGUAAAGGGAACGCAGGCGGUCUUUUAAGUCUGAUGUGAAAGCCUUCGGCUUAACCGGAGUAGUGCAUUGGAAACUGGGAGACGUGAGUGCAGAAGAGGAGAGUGGAACUCCAUGUGUAGCGGUGAAAUGCGUAGAUAUAUGGAAGAACACCAGUGGCGAAGGCGGCUCUCUGGUCUGUAACUGACGCUGAGGUUCGAAAGCGUGGGUAGCAAACAGGAUUAGAUACCCCUGUAGUC
rnacentral:rRNA from 1 species